rnacentral:rRNA from 1 species
CCUACGGGAGGCAGCAGUGAGGAAUAUUGGUCAAUGGGCGUAAGCCUGAACCAGCCAAGUCGCGUGAGGGAUGAAGGUUCUAUGGAUUGUAAACUUCUUUUAUAAGGGAAUAAAGUGAGGCACGUGUGCCGUUUUGUAUGUACUUUAUGAAUAAGGAUCGGCUAACUCCGUGCCAGCAGCCGCGGUAAUACGGAGGAUCCGAGCGUUAUCCGGAUUUAUUGGGUUUAAAGGGUGCGUAGGCGGGCUUUUAAGUCAGCGGUGAAAGUUUGUGGCUCCACCGUAAAAUUGCCGUUGAAACUGGCAGUCUUGAGUAUAUUUGCGGCAGGCGGACUUCGUUGUGUAGCGGU